rnacentral:rRNA from 1 species
UGCGAUUGUUCGUGCGAAUCGCUACACCGUAUCGAGGGGGACAGAUACUGACUCGGGAUCAAUUCCUCCGCGUCCACGCAAGAGGCGAAAUUUUCGGCUAAGAUAGGACUCAUCCUCCCGUUGCGCCGCCCGAACCAAAAAUCCCCCCUUCUCCCCCCAAGUCCGAUGCGCCGCCGUGCGCCGCCCCUCCCCGUCCUACAGCACUUCCUCUUCGUCCCCUUCUCUAGCUCGUCAUCAAGCUCUCCCAGCUUACUCCGGACCAACACCACCACCGAGGGCCACGUCUCCCUACCUACCCGGUCUGACCCCAGUGGAAGGAGCGGCGGCUGGCGAUGGCAGCCGAGGCGAGGAGCUGGCCAGGCCUCCCAAGAAGUGCCGGAUCGAGUCGCGCAACAACAGAUCUCGCAGUCGCAAGGUUGCUGGGAGGAGUGCCGCUGCCAGCGCUUCGCGGACGAAGCGGCUCCCAAUGCAAAGUUCGAUUUCUCGAUUUUUUUUUAUCUUCAUGUUCGGUAAGAUUGCUACCCUAUUUCUUUCAUAGGGCAAAGCGUGUUUUGAACUUUUGAUCAGAAUUAAGUGCCACAUGAGGAAACAAUACAGUGUACUAUGUGUUUUUCUUGUGAAUUCCUCUUGGUCUAAUACUGCUUAUUAUACCGAAAUUUGCGGUUACACCAUCUAUUUUUCUCUAUAUGUUUCUCUACAAAUUUACAACAUCCACUUUAGUACGAAUAUAGCAGUUACAGUAUAUUCAUCUGGGAUGUGCAUGGUUGAAAUGAUGACUUGUGAAUAUUCGUGCAGUGAAGGCCAAGACAUGGACCAUAUACACAAGUACCCAUCUCAGUAUAGCGAUUUUUUGAUAGGCACCUAGCACAUUUCUUAACACGCUUAGAACAACGGUAUGACUAUUAAUUCAGCAAUGAUAUUACCCCCUCAGUCCUAUAUUUAUUUGCAAUAUGCUUACUGGCUUUCUCUUGGCUGAAGAAUUCGGUGAACUAAAUAUGCCUCGCCUACACAAAUGUACUGUCCUUCCAAGACCAUCUAAUUCACCUUUUAUUUUCUGUUUAGAUCAUACAAGGUACUGCUGCUGCUGAAAUCCCGUGAACCUGUCUUUGAACACUGAGUGAAGGAGUCAGCUGGCAAAAUGCCAGAAGUAAAAGGUGAGCUUUCUUACUCAGCCAAUGGCCUCACUGCAUAGCUCCUUCAUAUGUGACAUAAAUUUGCAACACAAUUUGCCUAACUCAGUCAUGUUCUUGCAGUCCAAUAAUUUCCACCAAAGUUUUAGUUGAAUAUAUGGCGCAUUCAGGUAUAUAAGACAUCAUGAUCGCAAAUAGAAAGUUUAUAUGUGAUUACGAGACAUCAUGAUCACAAUUUGCUUAACUCAGUCAUGUUCUUGCAGUCCAAUAAAGUACCAAAAAAGUUUUAGCUGAAUAUAUGGCGCAUUCAGGUAUAUAAGACAUUAUGAUUACAAAUAGAGUUUAUAUGUGAUUAUGAGACAUCAUGAUAUAAAAAAGAGCACAUAAGUGUUAAUUGAAGCAACAGGAGAAUCAUGUUUGGGACCUUAAAAUUACUUCUGACUAAAAUGGUAACAUGUAGGCUCAUCAUGAUUUUAAUUGCUUCUGACUAAAAUGGUAACAACUAAUUACACUUUAUGUAUUGCUUACUUCAACAUGUAAAAGCUUGGUCAAUGCUUCACAACGAUAUGAUGGUAGGAACCCUCUCAUAUUCAACCACAGUUGGCAAACUAUGGAAGGAGCUUCUGGAUGUUCCUUGUGAUGCUCGUUGGAUGUUUCCACGGUACACCAUAGAUGAAACAGAGACUGACAUUAUUAUGAGAUACUUCCAAAUAAAACUUGUGUCUAGUGAUGGCUUUUGAAUAUCAUGUGCUUCCAAAAGCUUUGUUUGUGCAACCUAUGACUUUUGAAAGUUUUCCUUGUAACUUAAUUCAAGCAAACUAUCAUUUUGAACUAUUUGUUGGGCAUGCAAAAGAUUGUUCAAUGUGAAAGGUUUUCAGAAGAGAAGUGGAAAAAGAUUACUAUUUGCCAAAUGGAAAUGGCUCAGAGCUUCCUGUGUUCACAUAUUUUUCCCUAUUACUAUUUCUUGGACGCCAUAGUGAUCAAAGAAUUUGAGUUGCAGCAAAAUCUAUCAAUGAAAGUACUUGUUCACAAACGGUAGCUUUUUACUCUGAUAUAAAACCUAAUUUUGGGUAUGAUCAGUUCAGAUUUUUGUAAAUGCUGUGUGCUUCCUUUUCAUUUAUCAAUCCUAUAUGUGUGUGGCGUGUUAGACUUUAAUUCUUUAGCAUUAAUGUUACAUGAUCUUAAGCAUAAAUGUAUAGAACAUCUAAUUAUCAUAUGAGACCAGUUUGAGGAUCUUACUGUCAUUGGGAGUAGCUUUUGGUUAGGUGAAGCGAGGUUCCACACUCGUUUGAUGUAGGAUUGACGAGUAGGGGCUCGCUGCUGGUACCAGCGAUGAAACCCAUGCGUGACAUUACUGCAUUAUCUGUCUACAUAAGAGAAGAAGAUGAUCUAAAGGCGAUAAAACCUUUCCGACAUUAUAUGGAAAAAGGACAGGAGCCUGGUUUAAGGGCAUCUUUGGUUUGGCCUCAUCAUCAAAUGUAUGUUGUGAGCUACCGGAGUUUCUGUUGAGUGGCUAAAGUACACACGUGAAGAUGAUGUUGAGCUUGACCAUAAGAGAUCGAAAACUACAGUGAUAGAGGGUGACGAUGAUAUGCAGAUGGACAACAAGCUAGCUCCGUGUGUCACAGAGUGAGCAUAGUUCAGCAGAAUGUGAACAACUUCUAAGCUGCAGUUCUUGUAAUAUGUUUUUUGUACGGAAUACUUGUUAAAGUAUAUUUGUGAGGAAUUCUGGCUCAAAAUUGACCAUAAGUGUGAUUGC